GUCAAAUGAUCGUAUUUUGUAACGCAGAGUUUAUGGCACAACGUCAGCUGCCUCUUUUUAUCCAUUUAACUCGUUAAAUGUACGUUUCUUUGCUCCAAGACAAAACUAUUUGCAUCCUUGUAGUACUUGUAAUGUAACGUUAUUCAAUAUGCACUUUAUUGCAGAAUCGUAUCUUUUGUAUAAUCUGUCAAAAGCGCAUCUAGUCAAAAAUAUAAUCCUAGUGUUGUAUGAGUCAUGACACUUCAUGAUAAUUUGUGAAAUUAGUGUCAAAAAUGGGUCAGCCUUUGGAUGAUGCUUUAAACGCAGCACGACGAGCUGUGCAGUUUGACACUGAUAAACAAUACAAGCAAGCAUUGUAUUAUUAUGGAGUGGCUAGACAAUUUCUUAGUAGAGUAUCUCCGAACUCUUUACUGGCCCAAAAAGCUGAGGAGUACCAAAAUCGAAUUGCUGCCAUUCAACAACUUAUUCUUACAGUUGCGGAGGAAGAAGAGAGGAAAUGCAAGUCUGUUAACUUAAAAGAAACUGAAUUACAAAGAUGUAAAUUUCUCAUGAGUCAGGCACUGGAUGCUGAUGAAGCAGGUUGUAAAGACAUUGCCAUAAAUCUUUAUACGGAUGCAGCUGAGCUUGGAUUAAAUGCGAAAACAUCUGAUCCUGAGGUGAAAGCUAAAUUAACAAAUCUUAUUCGUCAUGCUGUCGAAAGAGCAGAGUCUCUAAAAGGUAUAAAGUCACCUCAAGCUACUAACAAUGUUAAAUUAAAUGACAUACCAAACUUGCCAUCAGUACCUGAGACAAGUUUACCAAGUCCUACGAUAUCUGUACAGUCAACAUUUGUAGAACCAGAAAAACCAACGAGACCACAAUUGCAUCGCGGCAGCAGUGCCCAUUUACGUGUUACUGGUGGUAACAGUGGUUACACCGAGGAAGAAAAACGCGUGCUACUACACAGUUCUCACAUAAAUAACAAUGAAUUCGUGCCUUUCAUGAGCGUCGAUCUUACUGAGAAAUUUCAAUACGCAAUUCCAUUUACGGACAAAGAUGGACUGUUAGAAUUAGCACCAAAACAAAAGCCUGAUUUCGCACGGUGGAGUCGGCCAGAGGAAUUAUUCUCCGAGCCAAAAAUGGUUAUGGGGAACCACGUGGAUUACUACAGUAUCAAGCAAACGGUAGUCUCAGAUUGCUCCUUCGUUGCAUCAUUGGCUGUGAGUGCUCAAUACGAGAAGAAGUUUGGUCGUAGACUAGUUACUUCCAUUAUUUAUCCAAAGAAUAGGAAGAAAGAACCAAUGUACAAUCCAUUUGGAAAGUACAUGGUGAAGCUACACGUCAAUGGUAUACCACGAAAAGUAAUAAUAGACGAUCAGUUGCCAGUGAGUCGUUACAACCAAUUGCUCUGUUCCUACUCUAGCAAUCGUGGUGAACUUUGGAUAUCCUUGCUCGAGAAGGCAUACAUGAAAGUCAUGGGAGGUUAUGACUUUCCAGGUUCCAACAGUAAUAUCGAUCUGCAUGCUCUAACUGGAUGGAUACCAGAAAGAUGGGCGAUAAGACCAAACGAGCCUGAUUUCAAUAAAGACAGCCUCUUUGAUACGCUUUUAUUACGAUUGCAUAAGGGUGAUGUUCUUGUUACGGUAGCCACUGGUGAACUAUCCGACGCCGACGCCGAGCGUACCGGCCUGGUACCGACGCAUGCUUAUGCGGUUCUAGAUGUCCGAAACGUAGACGGAGAGAGACUUUUACAAUUAAAAAAUCCUUGGUCCCAUCUAAGAUGGCGAGGAAAUUAUUCAGAGCUUGAUACUAGCCAUUGGACUCCAGAAUUGAAACAGGCCUUGAAUUAUGAUCCAGAUUCCGCAUCGCAAUUUGACAAUGGAAUCUUUUGGAUCGAUUAUAACAGUAUAUGUCGUUAUUUCGAUGUCUUUUAUCUAAAUUGGAAUCCUGGAUUAUUCAAUUACACAUACUGUAUACAUCAAAAGUGGAACGCAGGAAUGGGUCCUGUUAAGGAUGCAUAUAAUAUUGGAGACAAUCCACAAUUUUCGUUGGAAGUGCAACCGGAUGUCUCGGGUGCAAUAUGGAUUCUACUCACUAGACACAUAACGGAUAUAGCAGAUUUCCGACAAAAUCAGGAAUACAUAACGAUUCUGGUUUAUAAAAAUGAUGGAAAACGCGUAUAUUAUCCACACGAUCCACCGCCUUAUAUCGAUGGCGUGCGAAUAAAUAGUCCUCACUAUCUUUGCAAAAUAAAACUCGGGCCAGGAAGUGCCUCGCGUUAUACUCUAGUCGUGUCUCAGUACGAGAAAACAAACACAAUUUAUUACACUUUGCGGGCGUACGGAACUUGUGUCUUCACGUUACGAAAAAUGGCUGAGCCGUAUAAAUAUGAAAAAGAGUAUACGAAUAAUACCAGUAAGACUUCCCGAAGGUCACCGACGGACAGUGGAAAGGAAUCACUGCUGGUGGAUGUGGAAAUCAUCCUGAGACUUAUCCAAAUAAUCCACGUUAUCAAUUAAUCCUCGAGAGUCCAAAUAACAAUAAUUGUCUACUUAUAAUACUAAAGGGUCCCAAGCAGUAUCAAAUUGGUUUUGAAUUAAUUACUAUGCAGCUAAACGAUCCGGAAGUAUCAAAUGCUUUCAAAACCAAGUCAUCCGGACCUUUUCGGCCUGGUUUUGUACAGCUUGAACUGGAAAAUGUGCCUGCUGGAACAUACGAUAUUGUUCCUUCAACAUUCCUACCCGGACAGGAAGGACCAUUUUUCUUGACCUGCAAGGCGUCUUGUAAAAUACUGCUCACUCGCGUACACUAACGGAAUACAGAAUGGAGUAAUUUUUUGCACAAAGCCGGCUUUAGCAACAAUAAUCACUUGUAAUUAUUCUCGGUGAUGCAACAGAAAUAUCCGGUUGAUAACGGACCGUGCGAUAACAUCGUUACGGCCAAUUGAUCGGGACAUUACUAAUUAAAUUUUCUGUAAUUGCCUAAUUAUAGCUGUUGAAUUUUUUUAAUUAUUCAUAAUACCAUGAAAGUAUAUUCUACGAGCACGUAGAAAUAAUUGCAAUAAAGUUCUUUUUAGA